GGAGAAAUGCCAUAGCUCAGUGGUGGAGCGUUGGCUUUGUGUGCUGAAGGUUACAGGUUCAAUCCCCACCAUCUCCA